rnacentral:rRNA from 1 species
AUUGAACGCUGGCGGCAGGCCUAACACAUGCAAGUCGAACGGUAACAGGAAGCAGCUUGCUGCUUUGCUGACGAGUGGCGGACGGGUGAGUAAUGUCUGGGAAACUGCCCGAUGGAGGGGGAUAACUACUGGAAACGGUUGCUAAUACCGCAUAACGUCGCAAGACCAAAGAGGGGGACCUUAGGGCCUCUUGCCAUCGGAUGUGCCCAGAUGGGAUUAGCUAGUAGGUGGGGUAACGGCUCACCUAGGCGACGAUCCCUAGCUGGUCUGAGAGGAUGACCAGCCACACUGGAACUGAGACACGGUCCAGACUCCUACGGGAGGCAGCAGUGGGGAAUAUUGCACAAUGGGCGCAAGCCUGAUGCAGCCAUGCCGCGUGUAUGAAGAAGGCCUUCGGGUUGUAAAGUACUUUCAGCGGGGAGGAAGGGAGUAAAGUUAAUACCUUUGCUCAUUGACGUUACCCGCAGAAGAAGCACCGGCUAACUCCGUG